rnacentral:rRNA from 1 species
UACGAAGGGGGCUAGCGUUGCUCGGAAUUACUGGGCGUAAAGGGCGCGUAGGCGGACAGUUUAGUCAGAGGUGAAAGCCCAGGGCUCAACCUUGGAAUUGCCUUUGAUACUGGCUGUCUUGAGUUCGGGAGAGGUGAGUGGAAUGCCGAGUGUAGAGGUGAAAUUCGUAGAUAUUCGCAAGAACACCAGUGGCGAAGGCGGCUCACUGGCCCGUAACUGACGCUGAGGCACGAAAGCGUGGGGAGCAAACAGG